GCCUACGGCCACACCACCCUGAACAUACCUGAUCUCGUCUGAUCUCGGAAGCUAAGCAGGGUUGGGCCUGGUUAGUACCUGGAUGGGAGAGAGAAGUGCUUGUUUCUCAGAAC
ensembl:rRNA 5S_rRNA 5S ribosomal RNA